rnacentral:rRNA from 1 species
CUACGGGCGGCUGCAGUGGGGAAUCUUAGACAAUGGGCGCAAGCCUGAUCUAGCCAUGCCGCGUGAGUGACGAAGGCCUUAGGGUCGUAAAGCUCUUUCGCUGGGGAAGAUAAUGACGGUACCCAGUAAAGAAACCCCGGCUAACUCCGUGCCAGCAGCCGCGGUAAUACGGAGGGGGUUAGCGUUGUUCGGAAUUACUGGGCGUAAAGCGCGCGUAGGCGGAUCAGAAAGUUGGGGGUGAAAUCCCGGGGCUCAACCCCGGAACUGCCUUCAAAACUCCUGGCCUAGAGUUCGAGAGAGGUGAGUGGAAUUCCGAGUGUAGAGGUGAAAUUCGUAGAUAUUCGGAGGAACACCAGUGGCGAAGGCGGCUCACUGGCUCGAUACUGACGCUGAGGUGCGAAAGCGUGGGGAGCAAACAGGAUUAGAUACCCUCGUAGUC